rnacentral:misc_RNA from 1 species
UGCGGAGAUAGAAUGGUGUGA